UACGUAGGGUGCGAGCGUUAACCGGAAUUAUUGGGCGUAAAGCGUGCGCAGGCGGUUCGUUGCGUCUGAUGUGAAAGCCCCGGGCUUAACCUGGGAAUGGCAUUGGAAACUGGCGGGCUGGAGUGUGGCAGAGGGGGGUGGAAUUCCGCGUGUAGCAGUGAAAUGCGUAGAGAUGCGGAGGAACACCGAUGGCGAAGGCAGCCCCCUGGGACAACACUGACGCUCAGGCACGAAAGCGUGGGGAGCAAACAGG
rnacentral:rRNA from 1 species